UACGUAGGGUCCGAGCGUUGUCCGGAAUUACUGGGCGUAAAGAGCUCGUAGGUGGUUUGUCGCGUUGUUCGUGAAAACUCACAGCUCAACUGUGGGCGUGCGGGCGAUACGGGCAGACUAGAGUACUGCAGGGGAGACUGGAAUUCCUGGUGUAGCGGUGAAAUGCGCAGAUAUCAGGAAGAACACCCGUGGCGAAGGCGGUUCUCUGGAACGCAACUGACGCUGAGACGCGAAAGCGUGGGGAGCAAACAGG
rnacentral:rRNA from 1 species